rnacentral:rRNA from 1 species
UCAUAGCAAUAUGGUGAGUAAAGUGGCGCACGGGUCCGUAACACGUGGGUAAUCUGUCCUUGGGUGGGGAAUAACCUGUCGAAAGACGAGCUAAUACCCCAUAAGACCACGGGAUCUUUGGAUCCUGGGGUCAAAGGUGGCCCCUAUUUAUAAGCUAUCGCCUGAAGAGGAGCUCGCGCACCAUCAGCUAGUUGGUGGGGUAAUGGCUCACCAAGGCGUAGACGCGUAGCUGGUCUGAGAGGAUGAUCAGCCACACUGGCACUGAAACACGGGCCAGACUCCUACGGGAGGCAGCAGUGGGGAAUAUUGGUCAAUGGGCGCAAGCCUGAACCAGCCACGCCGCGUGAGUGAUGAAGGCCUUCGGGUUGUAAAGCUCUGUGGGGAGGGACGAAAACGGUCCGGAAGAAACGACGGAUCCUUGACGGUACCUUUUUAGCAAGCACCGGCUAACUCUGUGCCAGCAGCCGCGGUAAGACAGAGGGUGCGAACGUUGUUCGGAAUUACUGGGCGUAAAGCGCGUGUAGGCUGCUCCGCAAGUCGGGUGUGAAAGCCCGGGGCUCAACCCCGGAAGUGCACUCGAAACUGCAGAGCUGGAGUCUUGGAGAGGGAAGCGGAAUUCUGGGUGUAGAGGUGAAAUUCGUAGAUAUCCAGAGGAACACCGGUGGCGGAAGGCGGC